GAUGAACGCUGGCGGCGUGCCUAAUACAUGCAAGUCGAGCGAACAGACGAGGAGCUUGCUCCUCUGACGUUAGCGGCGGACGGGUGAGUAACACGUGGAUAACCUACCUAUAAGACUGGGAUAACUUCGGGAAACCGGAGCUAAUACCGGAUAAUAUAUUGAACCGCAUGGUUCAAUAGUGAAAGACGGUUUUGCUGUCACUUAUAGAUGGAUCCGCGCCGCAUUAGCUAGUUGGUAAGGUAACGGCUUACCAAGGCGACGAUGCGUAGCCGACCUGAGAGGGUGAUCGGCCACCCUGGAACUGAGACACGGUCCAGACUCCUACGGGAGGCAGCAGUAGGGAAUCUUCCGCAAUGGGCGAAAGCCUGACGGAGCAACGCCGCGUGAGUGAUGAAGGUCUUCGGAUCGUAAAACUCUGUUAUUAGGGAAGAACAAAUGUGUAAGUAACUAUGCACGUCUUGACGGUACCUAAUCAGAAAGCCACGGCUAACUACGU
rnacentral:rRNA from 1 species